rnacentral:rRNA from 2 species
GCCAGUCUGCAUGGAGCCGACCUUGAAAUACCACCCUUUAAUGUUUGAUGUUCUAACGUGGACCCGUGAUCCGGGUUGCGGACAGUGUCUGGUGGGUAGUUUGACUGGGGCGGUCUCCUCCUAAAGAGUAACGGAGGAGCACGAAGGUUGGCUAAUCCUGGUCGGACAUCAGGAGGUUAGUGCAAUGGCAUAAGCCAGCUUGACUGCGAGCGUGACGGCGCGAGCAGGUGCGAAAGCAGGUCAUAGUGAUCCGGUGGUUCUGAAUGGAAGGGCCAUCGCUCAACGGAUAAAAGGUACUCCGGGGAUAACAGGCUGAUACCGCCCAAGAGUUCAUAUCGACGGCGGUGUUUGGCACCUCGAUGUCGGCUCAUCACAUCCUGGGGCUGAAGUAGGUCCCAAGGGUAUGGCUGUUCGCCAUUUAAAGUGGUACGCGAGCUGGGUUUAGAACGUCGUGAGACAGUUCGGUCCCUAUCUGCCGUGGGCGCUGGAGAACUGAGGGGGGCUGCUCCUAGUACGAGAGGACCGGAGUGGACGCAUCACUGGUGUUCGGGUUGUCAUGCCAAUGGCACUGCCCGGUAGCUAAAUGCGGAAGAGAUAAGUGCUGAAAGCAUCUAAGCACGAAACUUGCCCCGA